rnacentral:lncRNA from 1 species
GCAGGGUCAAUAUCUCCCACAGGGCAGCCUCACGGCCUUUACUGCCUCUCUCCAGCCAGCUCCAGCACUACAGGACAGAGAUUGGAAUUAAAUGUCACGUGGAAAAAAGCCAACAUGGCAUUCUGUUAAGAAGAUAGACAACCUAAGUGACGUCUAUCCUGCUUCAAAGACAAAACUCAGGAGGCUGUACAUUCAUUUAGAGCAGAGUAGACGAAACCUCCUAUUCUCUGGCUUGGGAACCAGGAGGAAUCACUGACUGAGAUUUGCCAACCAGACCUCUAUGAAGUGAGCUCUAUCACAUGGUACGUUUAUGAGAAGAGGAACCAGCAAUGUUUCCUUCCAUCUUCAACUAUACUAACAAGAUCCAUCU